rnacentral:pre_miRNA from 1 species
UUAUGAUGAUGAUGAUGAUGAUGAUGAUGAUGAUGAUGAUGAUGAUGAUGAUGAUGCCAUCAUUAUCAUCGCCACUACAAUCACCAGCAUCAUUAUCAUCGUCAUCAUCAUCAUCAUAA